UACGUAGGGUGCGAGCGUUAAUCGGAAUUACUGGGCGUAAAGCGCGCGUAGGUGGCUUCGUAAGUCCGUUGUGAAAGUCAAAGGCUCAACCUUUGAAAGCCGAUGGAUACUGUGAAGCUAGAGUACGGAAGAGGCGAGUGGAAUUCCAGGUGUAGCGGUGGAAUGCGCAGAUAUCAGGAGGAACACCAAUAGCGAAGGCAGCUCGCUGGGACGUUACUGACACUGAGGCGCGAAAGCGUGGGGAGCGAACAGG
rnacentral:rRNA from 1 species